rnacentral:rRNA from 1 species
UACGUAGGGACCAAGCGUUGUUCGGAUUUACUGGGCGUAAAGGGCGCGUAGGCGGCCUGAUAAGUAGGGGGUGAAAUCCCGCGGCUCAACUGCGGGGCUGCCGGUCAUACUGGCGAGCUAGAGCACGGUAGGGGCAGAUGGAAUUCCCGGUGUAGCGGUGGAAUGCGUAGAGAUCGGGAAGAAUACCAGUGGCGAAGGCGUUCUGCUGGGCCGUUGCUGACACUGAGGCGCGACAGCGUGGGGAGCAAACAGG